rnacentral:rRNA from 1 species
AAUGAACGCUGGCGGCAGGCCUAACACAUGCAAGUCGAACGAAGCCUUCGGGUUAGUGGCGGACGGGUGAGUAACGCGUGGGAACAUGCCCAAAGGUACGGAAUAGCCCUGGGAAACUGGGAGUAAUACCGGAUGAUGUCUUCGGACCAAAGAUUUAUCGCCUUUAGAUGGGCCCGCGUUGGAUUAGCUAGUUGGUGGGGUAAAGGCCUACCAAGGCGACGAUCCAUAGCUGGUCUGAGAGGAUGAUCAGCCACACUGGGACUGAGACACGGCCCAGACUCCUACGGGAGGCAGCAGUGGGGAAUAUUGGACAAUGGGCGAAAGCCUGAUCCAGCAGUGCCGCGUGAGUGAUGAAGGCCUUAGGGUUGUAAAGCUCUUUUACCCGAGAUGAUAAUGACAGUAUCGGGAGAAUAAGCUCCGGCUAACUCCGUG